UACGAAGGGGGCUAGCGUUGUUCGGAAUUACUGGGCGUAAAGCGCACGUAGGCGGAUAUUUAAGUCAGGGGUGAAAUCCCAGAGCUCAACUCUGGAACUGCCUUUGAUACUGGGUAUCUAGAGUAUGGAAGAGGUGAGUGGAAUUCCGAGUGUAGAGGUGAAAUUCGUAGAUAUUCGGAGGAACACCAGUGGCGAAGGCGGCUCACUGGUCCAUUACUGACGCUGAGGUGCGAAAGCG
rnacentral:rRNA from 1 species